CGAUGUCGUUGACAGGUUACGAGGGGAGUUAGCCGAGAACCUUGUGCAUCCAGAUCCGGUUCCUCUGGUCUUAUUGCCCAACAGCGGAGCCGGCCUUUCCGUCCCUGCAGACUCGAAUGCUGUGUCUGGAUGCGCUCAACAGCUUGGCGGCGAUGGGACCGGUAGGGCAGCAGUUGGGGUCGGACCGUCAUCCGGAUGCAUCUGCAACAAGGUCGGCGCAGGCGACUGACCGAGUCAAUCGAGAGGCACCUGGGUGGACAAAAAGAUUACGGCUGGGCAGUGCACCACCUGACAGGACACCAUGUCCCUCUCGGUUGAGCCCUUUGGAGCAAUCGAUUCGCAAAUACGCAGAGGAACCUACAAAAAGUGUAAUACACCUCACAGGACACCUUGACCUGAGCUUCGAUUAACUGGGUGAGGUGACUUAUAGAAUCUCUAUUCUUGGGAGAUCCGGUUUGGUAUCACAUAUGGUAAAAAGAGAUUAAAUGUCGAGAGGACAAAUGCUUGCAGGAGAUCGUAUGUGGUUGUUUGGGCAAACCGGAGAUUUAUGAGCACCCGUACAUGACACAGAUAUACGAAAUCAGAACAAAGUGGGUGAAACCAUAUUUCAAAGGGGUUUUCUGCGUGAAGAUGACGAACAUACAACGCAGUGAGAGCGCGAAUCAAAUGUUGGAGACGUACAUGCCUCCUCAAGCCCAAUGCAUAUUUUUGUUAGGCAGUACAUGAGGUUACAGUUUGACUGCGAACGUGAAGAAAGCUACGAGGACAAGAGGAUGAUGAUUUGCUGGAGCUGUCAGGAGUACAAAUUUGUGGUUGCCUAAACUAGCUAGUGUUAACGUCUCAGGUUUAGAACAUGGUCUGCCGACUGGUAUGCUGAAAUGUGUUUUGCUACUGACACUUGGCCAACAUGCGGAAUACAACAAUGUGUUUGCCAGUUUUUGAGUGAACUGUGCGCACGGCUAGAUUCAAACUUUGAACUGCUAGAAAGGUUAAAUGCAAGUACUAUAAGGCAGGUGGCAGGAUGCCAUCCCUCAAAGCAGUAUAAGAGUGUAACAUCCGGCAGAUGUCGUGUUGCCUUUCACCAUAGUUGCACAUUCAAAAACAUUUGAAGCUAGCGUUGCUUGCGAUGGCGCCAACGCCUGCUGAAGCCGCCAGGUGUGCCACGGCGAUGAGAUCCGAAUUGGUGGCUCUAGUGGCGGAUUGGAGAUUCAGUCAUCUUCCUCUUCGUCAAAUCUGCCUGCGCAAGACGGUGGCGGAGUGGACAAGGGAGAGGUAUCCAAGGAGAUUGUCGUGAGAUUAUCAUGUUCAAGAAGAUGGCACAAUAUUACAGAGAAGAAGGAUACGGCGACCACGAUACUUUAGCUAUGCAGAAUGCAACGGCGGUGACACUGAUGUGGACCACGGAUCUCAUGUAGCGGGUGCGGUGGAAGAAACUGAAUCAGCUGAAGAGGAGGAAGUGAGCAGCAGGGGUCCUAAGCUAUGCCGUACGCAGGCGUAGUAUGAGAUGGAAGGAUGAAUUCGUAACAACGUAUGUUUUUUUGAAGUUCAGAUAUAGUAUUACUUAACUAAGCAACUACAGGGAUCUCGUCUGCUACAAUGCCCAGAAUACAAUCUGGAGGAUAGUUUAGCCACUCCCUACAAACUUUAUUACAAACUCCCUCUCUUGCUAAAUAAUGAGCUGCACUAUUAGCAGACCUCCUAACCCAAGUUACAUUAAACUCUUGCCUUGUCCUGAGCAUUGCUUUUAUCUCUUCAAUGACCUGUUCAGCAACUGACAUGUUUUUACCCGGAUCAUUGAGCAUCCGUACGACAGCCAUACAGUCCAUCUCGACGUGCAGUUUCUGAAGGUUUAAGUCUAUGGCUAAUUUAACUGCCCUUUUGCGGGUUAGCAGCUCCGCGUGCUCAGCCGAAGCGACGGCUGCAAAGAACGCACAUGCAACCCCUCUGUAGGCCCUCUCGUGAUCUCUGUAGAUCACUCC